GCAUCGAUAGUGCAACGGUUCGAGCACGCAUCCCUGGAUAGGGUGAAAUGUGGGUUCGGAACCCAGCUGACGCA